UACGUAGGGUGCAAGCGUUGUCCGGAAUUAUUGGGCGUAAAGAGCUCGUAGGCGGUCUGUCGCGUCUGCUGUGAAAACCUAGGGCUUAACUCUGGGCGUGCAGUGGGUACGGGCAGGCUAGAGUGCGGUAGGGGAGACUGGAAUUCCUGGUGUAGCGGUGAAAUGCGCAGAUAUCAGGAGGAACACCGGUGGCGAAGGCGGGUCUCUGGGACGUUACUGACGCUGAGACGCGAAAGCGUGGGGAGCAAACAGG
rnacentral:rRNA from 1 species